UGUGCGCAGGAGGCGCGCGGCGGCUACGGUGCGCCGUAGGGCUCAUGCGGAAGAUGGCGGCGUCCAGAGGCGGCUGAGGGGAUCCGGGGAGGCGUGAGAGGUUUCCGUACAGCCGGACAGCGCGGCUUGGUCUCGCGCCCCGCGUGCGCCCGAGGCCCUUGGGGCGCGAUGUGGAGGAGCUGCCUCCGGCUGCGGGACCGGGGGCGCCGCCUCCUGACUCGGCCCGUGGGGCCGGGGCCAGCCCUGGGGUCCCCGGCCCGGGCCUACGCGCCGCCGACAGGUAACAGGACCGGUCCUCUCCGCUGCAGUAACUAUGACAACCUAGAUUCUGUCAGUUCUGUUUUGGUUCAGAGUCCUGAGAAUAAGAUUUAGUUACAAGGGCUUCAAGUUCUCCUUCCAGACUAUCUCCAGGAGUGCUUUGUACAAGCAGCUCUGAGCUACAUCGCUUGCAAUUCGGAAGGAGAGUUUAUCUGCAAGGACAAUGACUGCUGGUGUCAGUGUGGCCCCAGGUUCCCAGAAUGCAACUGCCCCUCCAUGGACAUCCAAGCUGUGGAAGAGAAUCUUCUUCGAGUAAGUGAAACCUGGGAAGUCUACAACAGCAACUUUGAGGAGUCAGGCGUUUUUGGGACAGAGCAUGAUAGGGCUAGUGAACACACAGACAGAUUAAUGGAAUAUACAGAAAUGAAGGCAGUGAAGACUUACAUCAGCAUGGCAUCAGAGGCACAGUAAACCUGCAAGAAAUUAAAGUUUAUUCAAUCAGGAACAAGGAAAUCAAAUGAGAGUUACUUGAUGGCACCAAAAUAAAAGCGUAAAGAAGAAAAUGGGAAAAAUUGGCACCCAGAGAUAAAUGUGUAUUGUUUAUGUCACACUCUCUCUACUACUGUGUUUGAAAUAAAAAAUUUAAGACUUUUAUUCAUUUUUCAUGUGUUUGUUGAAGAGUCCCAUUGGCCUCAAUAAAAUAUGUCAAGUGAGAUAAAAUUCCAUUGUAAAUGGCAUUAUGUUAAAUGUUACAUUUUACUUGUUACAUUACAUUUACUAAGUAAAAUAUUAAAAUUAUAGGACUUGAUAAAGUAACAGGAUUGUUUCUGUUUAUUAAAGAUAUACUUUAAAUAUAAAGGCACAUAUAAUUUAAGUUGAAGAGUAGAAAAUAUAAAUAAUGUAAAAAUCUUCCAAAAUAAUACUUGAGUAAAUUCUAAAUCAAGUUACAUUAAUUGAAAUAUAAAUAUUUUAUAACAAAAUAGUGCAACAUGAAUAUAUACCAAAAUAUUAGUUUAUAUGGAGCUAAACUUAAAAAUUAUACCAAAUUAGUUAAAUAGACAAAAAAUAAACUUUAUCCAAGACUUUUGAAACAAAGGAGAAAGACUUGUAAUAGAAGAGAAAAAUUGAACUCAACAUUCAAGAAACCAAGGGCUGCAGGAUUUUCAACAAAGGCCUGAGCUCAAUGGAAAGCACUGGUGGGCAUUCACAGUGAACUUGACAAGCUGGAGGAGGCCAUUGGUGUCUGCUAAUUAUCUCUUACUGAAGUUAGGCUCCCCUUCUUCCAGAGGAACCCACCUGUUUUCCACAAUCAUUACAUUUCAAAAGGGUGCCCCCAGAUCCUGAAGAAAGGGGCAAUUUUUGUGCAAUAUUUCCAUCUCAAUAAAAAGGAAGAAUUUACAAUUUUCUAAAAUGAAUGUUCUAUGAACAGAGACAUCAGUGAUUUAUCAUUAACUUAGAAAAAUUGAAGAGAAUGUUUGACCCUCUUGGUCAAGACUUAAUAACAUGUAUCCAAAUAACAUGAAGAAAAAUGUCAAACACACACACACACACACACACACACAAAUGUGAGAUUUUAACCUGUCUUUCAAUAAAUGAAAUUAUAAAUUGGAUAUUAUUAGAUUAAACAUUUUUGGUUGUUGCUGCUGUAGUCUUCCUUAAUUAGAUGUAAAUUCAGGUUUUUAUGAAGAUUAGUGUGUUGUUUGCCAGCUUUUUAAAGCUAAUAAACUCAAGGUCUUUGCCUGUGAAAAUGAUGUUUAUAUGAAAAGUAAAGACUGAUCUUUAAAUAAUUAGAUUUACUUACAAAACAGCAGAGGUCUUUGACUUCUUUUAAUGGUAAAUUAAUUUCAGAAACAUAUUGCACUAAAUAUUUUUAUGCAUCAAAUAGACAGUCAAUAUUUAUAAAUUAUUGGCUACAAGUUAUAAGAUUGAAUUGUAGAGAGGUAAGAUCAAUAAUGGAGGCAUCUCUUGUCAAAAAGGAUAUUUGGGCAUCUGAGAAGUGAGUGAGAGCUAGAAGUGGAAUUUGGAAGCAUUACAGGUCCAAAGUAAUGGAUGUUGGGUCUUCUAAAAGCAGGGAGUACAAAGCAGAAUUAAAUUAGUCUUUGCAAGGUCAUCAAUUGAGAUUGAAGUCACUGCCCAUGCCUAGAACAUCCUAAUGUCUGAAACUUGUUUAAGUGGAUCAAGUACUGUCAAGUUCUAUUCAAAAAUAAAUGAAAAUAUUCCCUGGGAAAAAAAUAACAUGUUUUAAUCUCAAAUGUAGUGAGCAAAUAUUUUCUAUUUUAAAUUUAAUUUCUAAUAAAAAACUAUUUAGGUACUCUAAAACAUAACACAAAAUGAAUAAGAAGCAGCAUAUGAAUUGGGCUUGUGCUAUCACAGACUCAGAGAGAAUGUAAUAAAAAUACAAUUAAUAUGUUCAUAGAAUUAAAGAACAAAUUUUAUUUUUAAAAAGAACUCCAAUAGAACUUAUAAUAUGUUAAUUAGUAAAAUUAGAACUAACAGUUAAUCAAUAGAGUAGACAUAGCUUACAAUUAAUUAGUGUAUUAAAGAUAAGUUAGAGGGGAGCUGGCACUGUGGCACACUAGGUUAAUCCUCCUCCUGCGGCGCCAGCAUCCCAUAAGGGCGCCAGUUCUAGUCCUGGUUGCUCCUCUUCCAAUCCAGCUGUCUGCUGUGGCUUGGGAAAGCGGGGAAGAUGGCCCAAGUGCUUGGGCCCCUGCAGGAAAAAGCACCUGGCUCCUGGCUCCGGAUGGCAUAGCUCCGGCCUUUGUGGCCAUUUGGUGAGUGAACCAGUGAAAGGAAGACCUAUCUCUCUGUCUCUCUCUGUCUCUCUGUCUCUCUGUCUCUCUCUCUCUCUCACUGUCUGUAACUCUACCUGUCAAGUAAAUAAAUAAAAUCUUAAAAAAUGAUGUUAGAAGAAACUAUCCAGAAUAAAGAAAAAUUAGAAAAAACAAUAAAUGUAAUAAAAUAUUAUUAGUCAACUUAGAGAAUGUAGGAGAAGUCCUAACAUACUUAAACGUUAAGUUGUAGUCCAAACAGAGGAUGCACAGACAAUGGCAAAAAUAAUAUUUGAAGAAAAUAAGAGCUGAUACUUUUAAAAUCAUAGAAGGAAAGCAAUCUGUAUAUUUAAAAAGCUCAAAAAUGUAAUGUAAUUGAACAAAACUGACAUUCUGAGAUUUGAUUGUUGGUUACAGCCCUGCUCUACUGCUGAGAAACAGUAUUUUUUUUCUUUUUACUAUUUGUUGACUUCUUUACAUAGUGGAAUGUGAAGCUUAUGAUCAUAAAAUAAACUGAAAGUAUAUCAUUGUAAAAUUUAAAAGAAAGACUAAGAAAGGAGGAAAGUUGGAGGAUGGGAGUGUGGGCAAGAGGGAGGAUAAGGUGAGAUUUAUCACUAUGCUCCUAAAUCUGUAUAUAUUAGAUACACGAAAUUUGUUCACCUUAUAUACAUUUAGAAAAAAUGAAAAAAAAAAAAGCUCACCAAUCCCCAAGUAGUAAACAAGACAGAAAUCCUCAUGUGCACUAAAGUUUCCAUAAUGAAGGUGAAGAACAUGAAAAACAGUAAAGAAGAUCGUAGAAGCAGCCACAGAAGAGAGCAGAAAAGAUGACAAGGAGCCAGCAGAUUGGGAGUGGAGUUCCCAAGUUAGAACCAGUCCACGAUGCACCAUAUGUCAAAUACGCAAGAAUUCCACAACUAACUGAAACAUACUAUAUUCCCUUGCAGGUGAUCUUUUGUGCUUGUCCUUUGAGAACGUUGUCAUUCUGAAAUCUUGAAAUAGUUUUUAAAUGUAGGAUUCUAUUUUCAAAGUUAAUUGAAAAUAGAUCUUUGUAAGAAAAAAAAAAGAAUGGGAAUAGGAGAGAGAGGAAGAAUAGUGGGAGUGUGGGCGGGAGGGAGGGUAGGGUGAGAAGAAUCACUAAAUUUGUAUACAUGAAAUUCAUGAUGUUUGUAUACCUUAAAUAAAUGGUUUCUAGGUAAAAAUAAAUAAGUAAAUGCAAGAUUUAUUUCUUUCAUUUUUACCUUAGAUAUGUUUUGCUUUGGAAUUCACUAGUUUCCUGAAUUUUUCUUCAAUUCUCGAAGUUUUCCACUUACUGCAACUCCAAAGUGCCCUCUCUCCACUCUGCUCAUAUCCAUUCUGGAAAGCUGGGAAAUACAUAUAUAUGGAAUCCACGUGCUUUCUGGAAUUCUUAAAUUAUUGCAUGUAUUAAUGUAGAAAAAUACGUAGAAAUUGUUCUGGAAUGCCCAUUGUAUCUCUUGCAGUUCCCUUGUUAAAGUGUUCUUCAGCUCAUCUUUUUGUGUUGUCAUGCAGAUACAUGUCAUCUUCCAGUUGACAAAUUUUCAAUUUUUUUCAAUAUGCCCCUACUUCAUUUCUAUUUUCAAUUACUUAUAUUCAUUUCUACAAUUUUCAGUUGGGCUUAUCUCUUUAUUCAAUAUUUUUAGCUUUAAGUAAAUUUUUAUACGUUUAAUGCCCCAUUUUUUCUUUAAACAAAAUUAAUUUAAAUUGUAUUUAAAUUUUCGAUUUAUGACCCUUGGAACAUAACCACCAAAAAUUGCUGGGGCUCUGUGGGUAUUCUUGGCAUAGGCCACAGAGCUGAGAGGGUCAGAGGUCAUGACUGAGUUCCUGUGAGCCCGCCAGACCUAACUUCAGAGCUCUGUACACACUGGCGAUGCAUGCUGUGGACAGGUCAUUGCCCUGUACAGCUUGCGUGCAUAGUGGAUUGGGAGUGCUGGGACUGUGAGCUCAUUUUAGUUUGUAAAGCAGCUGGUUCACCCUGGCACACAUAAGAUUGGGGUUGUGAACACAACAGCCCCUCUCCCCAUUGCUUAUAGCCAGAGGUGCCCCACCAUGCCCAAUUUGAGCGACACUCUAAACUGUUCCUGCACCUUCAAACAAUUGUCAGAGAUUCCUGGCCCCACAUAGUGCACAGCCCUCGUACUCAUGUGUAAGUCUUAGAGCUCCAGAAGCACAUUCCCAGGAAUAAAACCUUCAAUCAAAAAAAAAAAAAAAAAAAAAAAAAACGCAGCAGAGGAGAUAGUAACGACAAAUUCCCCAGAUUAAAAAAAUUAAGUAAACUGAAAAUAGAUCUUCAUAAAAAUUAGGAGUGGGGAUGUGAGCGGGAGGUGGAAGAAGGGGAAAUCCAUGGCUGUAUUUUAUGACGCUCCAAUUUUCAGUCCACAACGACAGUCCUGAGUGACGUGGGCCUCUGCUGGUUCUCGCCUCCCACAGCUUCCGCCUCUCUGUUGGAAUCUGACUGGAGUCUCUGCUCGCCCCCAGAAUUAACAAGCCCUUCCCCAAGGAGAAAAGGCCAGCAUUCACCCCGAGAGUACUCUGCUCUGCAGAUGAACUCAGUGGGAAUCAGGAGAAUGUCUUGUUAGUUCUUGUGUGGGUCUGGGCUCUCACAGUCUCUCAUGUCCUAGCUGAAAAGAAAAGGUAUUUGUUUCCCUGUAUCGAGGUAUAUUUACAUAAAAUAAAAUUCACUCACUUUACACACACACUCUGAACGUUUUGGGCAGCUGUGGCAGUCAGAUAGCCAUCACGACAAUGGAACUUUCUGAUUCCCUAGUCCUCAGUGAAGACGAUCUAUUGAUAUAUUCUGAUGUGGUUCUUCUCUUCUAGACAAUGCUGUCUUAUUGCAUUAUUUCCUCUAUACAGUAGCACUUGUUAUCCACAGUUUCCCUUUCUGUGAUACCAACUACUUGUGGUAAACUGCAGUCCAGAAAUAUUAAAUGUAGAAUCCAGAAACAAUUUUUGAGUUUUGCACUCUUAUGAGUGGUGGGAUGAAAUUCUAGGCCACCCCACCUGGCCCAGGAAGUGAAUUAUCCCUGUGUCCAGCAUAUCCUAAUAAUCCACUACCUGUCCAUUAUCAGCCUAGGAGGCAUCCAGCUGGUGAGAUGGACUGUUCUUAUUCUCAGGUAAUGCUCAGUCAAUGAUUAAGUCAUGAUUAAGUCAAAUCAGUUACUGAUUUGGUCCCAUGGUGCAAAGAUAGUGGUGCUGGCAAUUCUGGAGCACCAAAGAAAAGCAUAUUUGAAAAGAUGAAGUUUCUAGACUUAAUAAAGAAAAAAGAAUUAUACACUGAUGUUGCUAAGAUCUGCAGGAAGAGUGAAUCUUCUACCUGGGCUGUGGUGUAGUGGGUAAAGCUGCCACCUGCAGUGGGGCAUCCCAUAUGGGUACCAGUUAGAGUCCCGGCUGCUCCACUUCCUAUCCAGCUCUCUGCUAUGGCCUGUAAAAGCAGUAGAAGAUGGCCCAAGUGUUUGGGCCCCUGCACCCUCAUGAUUGACCUGGAAGAAGCUCCUGAAUCCUGGCUUCAGAUUGGUACUUCUCCAGCCAUUGCAGCCAUCUGGAGACUGAACCAGUGGAUGGAAGACCUCUCUGUCUCUCUCCUGCCACCUCUCUGUAACUCUGCCUUUCAAAGAAGUAAAUAUAUCUUUUUAAAAAAUCUUCUAUUUGUGAAACUGUGGAGAAGGAAAGAGAAAUUUUUGGUAGUUUGGUCAUCACACCUGAAACUGCAACAAUUAUGGCCACAGAGUGUGAGAAGAGGCCAGUUUAAGAUGCAAAAGACACUACUUUGGUGUGUGGAGGACAUGGAGCAAACACGUGGCUCCAUUCUUAUUGCGUUCCCAGAACACAGAAUCAGGCUUGCACACAGUAGGCAUGCAACACAUAUUUAUUGAAUGGAUACUUUCUUUCAAGUCCAGUUUCCUUUAAUAUAUUUACACACAGGAGAUUGCUAGGAAAUCCAAUAAUUCACCAGAAAACUGUGUCACUGCUUUAUUCCAUUUUGAUUUAUCACAUCAGAAUGGCCCCUACUCUGUACAUAGGAUUACUGGAUUGAAUUGAAACUGUGAAUUAUGAUUCAGUUUAUACUUUUUGUGUAGACAUCACCUGAAAGUUAUUUAAACUUCUGUCAUUAUCCGUAGAGAAGCAUUUUAUGUCAUUCUCACCUAUGUGUAAGUUCACAGGGAGACUUCCCUGCUGAAAAGCAUUUCUUGUGAUGUAGGCUUUCUAAGUUUCUCUGUAUGAUUUCUCUCUAUGCACAACUUCCACUCUGCAGGGAAUAUUAUUUACCCAAUAUUCUUUCCUCUACCUCAAAGUUGCAAGCGCUCUCAAGGAACUCACUAACAAGAUAUAGACAUAACAUUUAUCAUCUCAUAUGUGUUUUGCUUUUCUUUGAACCCCUUGCCCCUUAAACUCAAAGUCUACAACAAAUCUUAGUCUUUAAAGGCCCAUAACAAAGAAAAGAAAACUAAAAAUGAGAAAAUCGCACAACCCAAUUGGCGUUCUUCCUUUGAGCUCUGUGGGAUUCUCUAUUUCCCAAGACAUUGGAUCCCAAAGAACAGCAAUUUUGGCUGUUCCUUCUCUGGGUAGUUUGCCUGCUGCAGAGUCCAUUAAUAGGAGAGAGAGAGAGAGAGAGAGAGAGAGAGAGAGAGAGAGAGAAAUGGUAAAGUCUAGGCUGCUGUCACUGUGAUUUCUUGUUAUUUUGGAGGGCAGCAUUUCGUGGACAUUUUUGUGCCAAGCCAUGAAGAGUUGCCGUGUGCAGCAGAGGCGACUGUGUCUGGAGACUUAAGGGACAUAUCCUAUAAAGGAGACAAAAGCAGGGAGAAUAAUUCUUACCCCCAAAAUCUAAUAAAAAUUACAGAAAAUGUAUUACUACUUUGACAUAAUCUAUCCUUUGUUCCUAAUUGUCCCUACCAAAUUUUGUCAAAGUUAUUGGAGAGUGAGUUUUAGAUAUUGAUUAAAUAUACAACUAUUGCUGGCGCCAUGGCUCAAUAGGCUAAUCCUCUGCCUGUGGCACCAGCACUCUAGGUUCUAGUCCCGGUUGGGGCACCAGAUUCUGUCCUGGUCGCUUCUCUUCCAUUCCAGCUCUCUGCUGUGGCCCGGGAGUGCAGUGGAGGAUGGCCCAAGUGCUUGGGCCCUGCACCCGCAUGGGGGACCAGAAGAAGCACCUGGCUCCUGGCUUCGGAUCAGUGCAGUAUGCCAGUCGCAGUGCGCCGGCCACAGCGGCCAUUGUGGGGUGAACCAACAGAAAAAGGAAGACCUUUCUCUCUGUCUCUCUCUCUCACUGUCCACUCUUCCUGUCCAAAAAAAAUUACAAUAUUCUAUUGUAAUGCUGCAACUCAUAGAUCAUUUGAGAGGUCAAAGGGACACAUGUGUGUCACCUCUUUGUGUAAUUAAUUAAAACAUUCUUACAUAUGAACGAAAAGUAGAAAUAAACUGUUAGCACAAAUAAACACUCUUGCUUCCAUUCCUACCAUUUCUAUCACCCAAAUACAAAAAUAAGGAGAAUUUUUUAGGUAAAGUAUUAAGUGCCAUUGGAGAAACUGGCCAACUCUUCAGGCCCAGAACGUUUUUGCAGGGAUUUUCUUACACUUCGUUUCCUGUUUCUCCCCUGUUUUGUUUAAUCAGAACUCUAAUUUCUCUGCUACAUUCAUUCUUACUCUACAUAUUCUUAUGCCUGAAAGUCUGUCACAUCAUUGCCUUUAUAUUGAACUAUUGGCCUAUUUUUUUAAGUCAAUGGCUUGACUAAACCAGACAAUUCAUCAAUUUGUAUAAUGAUAGCUAGUCUCCAGAAGAGUUCAAGACCAUGGGGGUAGUGAAAGGUUGGAGUGAGUACUAAGUGGCCUUCCUUCUCCUGAGACCACACAGUGAGUUUUGACGUAUAAGUUGCAACUGCUUGGCGAAGACAUCUGACCAGGAUGGACACAGCUCUCACACAUUUUAAAAUACUUAUUUAGUUUGUAGGCAAAAAUAUACUUUUCCACAAGGUAGCCUCCAGAGGACAGAAAUCAUUUCUUUGUCUAUAGACAAUAAUUAAUUCACAGAAUUAUCAGUUACCUACAACUUAACAGAGUUACAAAACAGUUUUUGAAAAUCAGAACAGGUAACCUGGGAGCAUGCUAUGGAUAAUGAACAGAUUUCCAUCAAAGUAUGGACAUUGUCCUGAAAACAUUAGGGUGAUGAUAUAUUAAAAACGUACACAGCAAACUCAGAUGUAUAAAAGACAGAGUGAAACUUGUAUUUCUCAGCAAUUGCUCAGACUUUAUAGCUUUUGAUGUCAGAAUAGUAGUAUUUCCACCUGCAAAAACUGGAGAAAGGAUAGAUCAUGAGAAAGUUGAUGAUGAUUUGGGAUUUGUUCUUUUAAGAAUUUUUCCUUACUUAUUUUAUUGUAUUUGAAACAGAGAGAGAGAGAAAGAGAGAGAGAGAGAGAAUAGAGAAUUUCCAUCAACAGAGGCACAGCCCACGAGAGCUGGCCCUUGGCCAGUCAAAAGCCAGAGACCCCUAAAUCAGUCUGUGUCUCCCAUGUGGGCAGCCAGCACUCAGUAUUGGAGCCAUCACCUGCUCUUCCUAGGGUGCACGUUAGCUGUAAGCUGGAACUGAGGCAGAGCCAGGACUCACUCAAGCACUCUAUGUGAGAUGAAGAAGCACUGGGUGAGCCCCAGAUGCCUGCUUCAGACUGGGAGGUUGUGUUACCUACCUAGAUGGCACUCGUUUAUGGCCUGGAACAUUUCAUGCUUAAGUUGACUUUGCAUAACUGAUCUGAGAAAAACAGAACCGUAUGAGGGGCAACUAUGAAUGCCGCAUCUUCACAUAAAUCAUUAGGUCAUUUUUCCUCUGGCCUGUGGCCUGGAGUACAUGUACAGAAUUUUAUAGCACCCUUUCUUCUUUGAAACCACUGCCUCAGGUUUUGGCUUUUGUGGGUAUUUGCCCAAUCUGUCUGGUGGAGUUCAUCCAAUUCUGAGAACAAGCGAGGAGGCUGACUUCACAUUUGUUGUUCGGUUGCCUCAUAGUUCCUCAUCUCUUUGGCUGUGGAAGUCUGGCCUGAAGAUACCAGUAGGGAAAGGAGAUCACCAUUCUUUCCAAAUAGCGUCAUUUUCUAAACGACUAUUGACAUUGUGAAGCUAUUCGAGCUAACCUAUUAAAACAUGAAAAAGGCCGUCGAGCUGGCUUGCUAAAUUUGCAGCAAUGCUCUCAGUCAGGAGAUUGGGAGGCUGCCUUCAGAAUAAUACACAGCUUUGACAGGGAACACAGGGACUCUGAAUUCAUACACCUAGGAAGAGCAAGGUGCACUCAGAACACCGGAUCUUAGGAUGUGCUUGCUCAGAAUUAAUAAACUUAAAGAUGUUAAAGGAAAAGGUAGCUGUUUCUACUUAGCUUUGUGUUAUCAUAAUUUAGUGUAUUUUCUCUGUUUUAUUCACAAAUAUAAUGUUUCUCUUUGCCUUUCCAUUGAUGUAUUUCUUUUAGCAAAAAAGAACAUAAAUUAAUAUAAGCUGCAAGAGAAAUAUAAUCACAUGAUUUAUUUGAAUUUUGGUUACUAUCCUAAGCAAUGCUGCCUAAGAUCCACUUUCCCUGAUGUACAUUUAUGUACAACUUCUUUAUAAGACUUACAGAAAAAUGUUUUUAAAAUGGUAGUUUUUUUCUUAUAAGAGUUAUUCUAAUAUUUUUUGUGGAAGAAAAAAAUGAAAUUCAUUGUUUUCAUUUAUCCCAUUGUGAUGGUUUUCAUGGCUUGAAGUUUGGGUAAAAUGCAACGAAAAUAUCUAAUGGAACGUUUGAGGAAAACAAUAUAUUUGAGUCAUUAGGACAUCAGAUAUAGAUAUGAGAAAACUAUUGAUACUUUGAGGAUGAAAGGCAACGUCUGCCCUUUGAAGGUCAAUAAUCUGAUUCUAUAAAAGAACUGAACCAGAGAAAAGACAUACAAACUUAUUAAUGUGCAAGUGCACGGGAGUCACAGAAUGAGUAACACUCAUCCAGAAAGCCGCAGCUGGAACACCCUCUUACUAGGGGACGGGGAACUGAGGGCAGUAAGCUAUUGUAGAGGAAGAGUAAAUAAUUUGAGAGAUUGAUUAAAGAGUGGAAGAACAUACUGUAUCCUGGGAAAAUUCCUGUGGGCCCUUGGGGAGGUGAAGAUAAGUGAUUUAUGGCGACAGUGGCUGCCUUGGGAUGCAAGUAGCCUUCUAAGCUAACCACCCCUAGAAGAGCAGAUGAGAAGUCCGUCCAGCUGAGUGUGUGACUGGCCCUUACUUUCUGCUGCAGUGGUUGAUCUUGCUGGUUAAUGGCAUCUCUGAGAAGUGAUCGGGGCAAUGGCACUCCUUCUGGAAGAACUUCCCUUACUCAUAUAAAGGGACUUCAGGGGAAGCCGCUUCCUGAGCUCUGGGCGAGGAGAACUGAUGCUGGGCAAGAGGUUCUGAGGAUGGUCGGGAGGGUUGGGAGAAGCGGGAGUUCAGAUCACCCUUAGGUUGUGUCUAGAGUGGAGACUGCUGUGGGCUAAGUUAGAUCAAAAUUUAUAUUUCGGGCUCUUGCCUCUUACUUAGAGAAGAAUCCGAAGCACAGGCUCAAACACGACAUGCAGCAUGACAAAGUUCAGAAGUUGUGUAGAAAACGAGAAGAAUCCACAGGACCGUGAGGGCUUUAUUAA